GCUAAGAUUGCUAGAGUAAGCCAGAGCUGAUCUAGGAAGCUUAGUGAGCACAUUCAACCCGCGCGUUAAAACUUGACCAAACGCGUCGAUCGAUAUUCCAAUCGAAUAAUAGGUCGAUGGUUCAACAAGUGUAUCGAUCGAUAUUCCUAUAGAAUCAUCGAUCGACACUGGUCAAUAGACAAACCUUGAAAGCGAGAGCCUAAUGGUUUGUUUAUAAGUGUUUAGCUGUAUAAUAUCAUGCAUACAACUUGUUAGGCAUCUGUAGGAUUAUAAUCCUGAUUACCUGAAUAAAAACCCUAAGUCUAGCUACUUUCAUCUAAGUACCAAAACCCCAAUCAAAUCAAUCGAGCAACUGCCUUGCUCACAAACCUGCUAUUUG
rnacentral:lncRNA from 1 species